UUCUGUUCAGUUUACUGUGCUCUACCCAUUCACGAGCGUUGGCACAAUCUUUGCAGGACACCCUGUAUAUAUAUACACAUCCCGUUCAAAUUAACACAAGACAAUUUAUAACAUUUUUAUAAAUGUUAAAAAUUGCGAUUCAAUGCAUAUAUAUAUAUAUGUGUGUGUGUGUGUGUGUGUGUGUGUGUGUGUGUGUGUGCAUUGAAUCGCAAUUUUUAACAUUUAUAGAAAUGUUAUAAAUUGUCUUGUAUUAGUUUAAACGGGAUGAUAUAAAUGAAAAGAUAUGCAUGCGCAGAAUCAGAAUUUAUGGGAACGUGAUAAAUUCUCUUUUCUUAGAAUAAUGUGGUGGGUCUUUCUUCACAUAUUUGCCGACCACUCCCUGCUCGAUUGUCCGCAGAUCUUUGUUUUUGCGCGACAGCAUGUUGACAGCUGGUCUUGAUUGAGAAAUGACAAAACGUCAAACGCGCGAGGAUACCAAAAGCGAAAACGUCACAAGACAAUAAAACCUAACCUAUAUGGACACGAGUCACAUCGAUGCAAAAAAAAAACGGAAAUAUGCAAAAAAAGAGAGAAAAAAACGAGCAUUUUACAGUUGUAUCAUACGACGCACUCUUUCAUGAACAAAUAUGACGACGAUGUGUUCUAUAUAUUGACAUGGACGUUUAUCGCGAGUUAUUAUUUUGCGUGGGGUAGCAAUCAGCCGAGCGUGCCUGUUGCAUCUGUCGAUGAAUCUGGUUGGAGUCCAGAUGGAACUUUGGCGAAUGAAAUAAUUGAGGGAAUAACAACGGAAUGAAGAAGGAUCAGAGAAUAUUAAAUUUAUAGGAUAUUUAUUUUAUCUAUUUUUUAUCAGAAGUCAGAACGUUAUUAACAAAUAAUGAUUAGAAGUCGAUUUUAACAAGAACAUUCAAGAACAUUGCGCAAAAUCUAACAUAUAAAUAAACAAUAUUAUACCUUUUUAGUCCCUCAACCUUGUAAAAUCUUCUGUAUGAGCAUUUGUACACUCAAGUUUUUUAUAUAAAUUUUCCAUUUAUGUAUUAUCCUCUCUCUCUCUCUCUCUCUUUCUCUCACAUUCAGAAAUUAAAUAUAUAUAUAUAAUUAAUGACUUGAAUAACAAAUACUAUGUAUAUAUAUAUAUACAUAUAUAUACGCGCAUGCGCACAUAAUAUAUGCAUAUGUAUGCAGAUAUAUCCAUAUAUCAAUGUGUGUGUAUAUAUACAAAUAUAUACUAGUAUGUAUAUAUAUAUAUAUAUAUAUAUAUAUAUAUAUAUAUAUAUAUAUAUGUAUAUGUAUAUAUAUAUAU